rnacentral:rRNA from 1 species
UACGUAGGGGGCUAGCGUUGUCCGGAAUCAUUGGGCGUAAAGAGCGUGUAGGCGGCCCGGUAAGUCCGCUGUAAAAGUCAAAGGCUCAACCUUUGAAUGUCAGUGGAUACUGCCGGGCUAGAGUCCGGAAGAGGCGAGUGGAACUCCUGGUGUAGCGGUGGAAUGCGCAGAUAUCAGGAAGAACACCAACGGCGAAGGCAGCUCGCUGGGACGGUACUGACGCUGAGACGCGAAAGCGUGGGGGAGCAAACAGG